UGAAUACGAGAUGCUACGGCAUCGAAGCAGUCUAUGUCAUACUUCCAAGAAAAGCUUGCACUGUCAUAAACAAAUAAUGCCUGUACCAUAACCGACACAGGUGGGUAGGUAGAGUAUACUAAGGGGCGCGAGAUAACUCUCUCUAAGGAACUCGGCAAAAUGACUCCGUAACUUCGGGAGAAGGAGUGCCUUAUUUUAUAAGGUUGCAAUAACAAGAUCCAAGCAACUGUUUACCAAAAACACAGGUCUCCGCUAAGUCGUAAGACGAUGUAUGGGGGCUGACGCCUGCCCAGUGCCAGAAGGUUAAAGAAGUUGGUUAGCAUUAGCGAAGCUGAUAACUGAAGCCCUGGUGAACGGCGGCCGUAACAAUAACGGUCCUAAGGUAGCGAAAUCCCUUGUCGGGUAAGUUCCGACCCGCACGAAAGGCGUGAUGAUUUGGAUACUGUCUCGGAGAGGGGCUCGGUGAAAUAGACUUGUCUGUGAAGAUGCGGACUACCUGCACCAGGACAGAAAGACCCUAUGAAGCUUUACUGUAACUUGAGAUUGAAAUUGGACUUUAUUUGCGCAGUAUAGGUGGGAGACGUUGAAAAUAUUCUUGCGGGAAUAUUGGAGUCAUCAGUGAGAUACCACUCUUAUAAUGUUAGAUUUCUAACUUUGUAUCAUUAUCUGGUCAAAGAACAGUCUCAGGCGGGCAGUUUGACUGGGGCGGUCGCCUCCCAAACGGUAACGGAGGCGCACAAAGGUUUCCUCUGAACGUGUAGAAAUCGUAUCUAGAGUGUAAAGGCAUAAGGAAGCUUGACUGUGAGACCUACAAGUCGAGCAGGGACGAAAGUCGGUCUUAGUGAUCUGACGGUGCUGAGUGGAAAGGCCGUCACUCAACGGAUAAAAGUUACUCUAGGAUAACAGGCUGAUCUCCCCCAAGAGUUCACAUCUACGGGGAGGUUUGGCACCUCGAUGUCGGCUCAUCGCAUCCUGGGGCGGUAGUACGUCCCAAGGGUUGGGCUGUUCGCCCAUGAAAGCGGUACGCGAGCUGGGUUCAGAACGUCGUGAGACAGUUCGGUCCAUAUCCGGUGUAGGCGUUAGAAUAUUGAGAGGAGCCUUCUUUAGUACGAGAGGACCGAGAAGGACAUACCUCUGGUGUACCAGUUAUCGUGCCAACGGUAAACGCUGGGUAGCUAUGUAUGGAGAGGAUAACCGCUGAAAGCAUCUAAGUGGGAAGCCCACCUCAAGAUAAGUAUUCU
rnacentral:rRNA from 1 species